rnacentral:rRNA from 1 species
UACGUAGGGACCAAGCGUUGUUCGGAUUUACUGGGCGUAAAGGGCGCGUAGGCGGCUCUGAUCGUCGGAUGUGAAAGGCCUGGGCUCAACCUGGGAAUGGCAUCCGAUACUGCCGUGCUUGAGGACUGGAGAGGAGACUGGAAUUUACGGUGUAGCGGUGAAAUGCGUAGAUAUCGUAAGGAAGACCAGUGGCGAAGGCGGGUCUCUGGACAGUUCCUGACGCUGAGGCACGAAGGCCAGGGGAGCAAACGGG